CCUACGGGAGGCAGCAGUGAGGAAUAUUGGUCAAUGGGCUUACGCCUGAACCAGCCAAGUCGCGUGAGGGAAGACUGCCCUAUGGGUUGUACACCUCUUUUAUAUGGGAAUAAAAUGUUCCACGUGUGGGAUUUUGUAUGUACCAUAUGAAUAAGGAUCGGCUAACUCCGUGCCAGCAGCCGCGGUAAUACGGAGGAUGCGAGCGUUAUCCGGAUUUAUUGGGUUUAAAGGGUGCGUAGGCGGGCUUUUAAGUCAGCGGUAAAAAUUCGGGGCUCAACCCCGUCCGGCCGUUGAAACUGGGGGCCUUGAGUGGGCGAGAAGAAGGCGGAAUGCGUGGUGUAGCGGUGAAAUGCAUAGAUAUCACGCAGAACCCCGAUUGCGAAGGCAGCCUUCCGGCGCCCUACUGACGCUGAGGCACGAAAGUGCGGGGAUCGAACAGGAUUAGAUACCCCUGUAGUC
rnacentral:rRNA from 1 species